rnacentral:rRNA from 1 species
UACGGAGGGGGCUAGCGUUGUUCGGAAUUACUGGGCGUAAAGCGCACGUAGGCGGCUUUGUAAGUUAGAGGUGAAAGCCCGGGGCUCAACUCCGGAAUUGCCUUUAAGACUGCAUCGCUAGAAUUGUGGAGAGGUAAGUGGAAUUCCGAGUGUAGAGGUGAAAUUCGUAGAUAUUCGCAAGAACACCAGUGGCGAAGGCGGCUCACUGGCCCGGUACUGACGCUGAGGCGCGAAAGCGUGGGGAGCAAACAGG